ensembl:lncRNA
CUAUUCUCAGGUCUGCUGCGGAGUCUGUAAAGAGCGAUGGGAUGCCGACUAAACAUGUAACCAGUGAACGUGACUCAUUUUUGCUAUUUGUGUCAGAUGGUCUGGUGGGAAGUGAAAGGAAAAGUGGAGGUUGGUGUGCUUCUGGCGCUGUCCCUUCAGGGCAUCACGUAAGAAAACCACCUAAUAAACAAAGUGAGCUUCCCAGAGGUUUUCACUGCAUGUGGGGUAACACGUUCCAUGACGCAUGACAAUCUUAACUCAAUGUCUGAUCCUAACAAUGUGAAAUGUGACGCGUCAGAGUUGUCUGCAGUUUCCCUGUCUCAUGUCUGGGCAGCAACACUUACAUGGAUGCCCCCUCCCCGUCACAGCCGCGCGGUCUUGUCCCAGAUGCAGAUGCCAUCACACCGCUUGGCUGUAUCAAUUUGACAAUCCUGUAGAGUAAAGCAUGAGCGUGGUCAGCAUAGUCUGAAUCUAUUGGCGUUCCCUGCCAGCACACAUACACAGAAAUAGCCCUGCCAGUGAGGAUGAAAGCGGCCGCACAUGUGUGUGUGUGUGGAUGCUUUUGGGUGCGACGCAACUCCAUCUGUGGCCCAUCAGGUUCAACGUGUUGGAGGCCACUCCACCGCAGCUUCUGCCACUGCAUAAAUACCACACAACUGGUCCACUGUUCCUCGCUGCUGGACGCUGGUGGCAUGGAAACGCAGACACACAGAGAAGGCAGAGCCAAUGGACAUCGAAGUCAUUGAACACAUUUAUCACUCUUUAGGUUGAUUUGUAUCAGUUUGUGUUGUGUGUAGAUGUAUAGCCUGUAUGCUAAGAUAGUGGGGAUGUAAGUGACAAACACAUUAUUGAUUUGACUUGAUUGAUAUGCAAUGCUUCCAGGUAACAUCACAUCUUUACUUUUAUUCAGCGGAUUCAGAUUUAUGUUUAAAAGGUCAUUCGUGUGUUAUCCGUAUGUCCAUAGUUACAGGCUAAACAUGGGCUGCCGCAAAUGUGGAGAGAAAUGUAGGUCAAACAGAACAGAAUUAGGUUAGAGAAAAGGAAUUUGUUGUGCAGUGAAUGACAAAUCUUCACUGACAUUGCACAAUCUACAACCCCCCCCUACCCAUUUGGCUAAUGUACACCAUGAGAGGUUGAAGCCACCUGUGCUUAUUUUGAAGUGUUGUCGUUUGAAAAUUUAGUGAGUUCUGAUAAGAUGAAACCAUGAUAGUGAACAUUUCAAAAGAAUAUGUACAGUUCUAGAGGUACGUAUUCAUUUUGACUUUGAAUUAUUUUAAUGUUUGCAUCACGAGAUAUUGCUUGAUGAGCUUUAAAAUGGCACAUUGAAUGAUCAUGAUGAAAGUGGGUGGUCCAAUCCUGUUAUACAAAAAAACUUAUUUGGUUUGUUUUUUAAAGGGAAAUCAUGCAUUAUGACCUGAAAAGCUACUCUUCCACAGUUGAAACUGGGUGAAUUUGUGUGAGUAAAAAGUAAGUGAAAGUAAUGGAUUGUGGGUAGAGCCUGUUCACAUUAGGGAGACACCGAUGCUAAAAAUAGUGAAACAACUUGCAUUUUUUCCACAGGUGAAUUGGGGCAAACUGUGUGACCAGCUAAUUGGAAAGCACUUCCAUUUCCUUAUAUCUCAGUUAGCCAUUAGUGAACCGGCAUGAAAAAAGCACUUUCAGUGGUGGGUGCGAUUGUGGCCGUUGCCGCGGCUGUCUCAUUAAAAUCAUUUCCCAACCUCCAGGUGCUGCCUUCAAUAGAUAUUUAAUCAUCAUUUGCCCCAAGAUUAACUCCUUCGAUCAAUAGUCUUUAUUUCAGCGGCCUCGUCUUCUAAUCACGCUGCCACUCCGCCAAUAAUCACAUCGGAAAUAUUGCUUUUCUUUAAUGACAUUUUUAUUUGCAUGAUAACAAAAGGAAGAAAGCAGUCUGGAGUUCUUUUUUGAGGAUGGCUUAAUCCAUUGGUUCCCAAACUGGGGGUCUCAACCCCCACAGGGCGUGCAGUGAGCCGACCGGGGGGCCACGGCUUCUUCACCAACCCUAACAUACGGCCACGGUGGUUAAAAAAGAAAAAAAAGAACAACAUAA